UUCUAGCCCCGAUAGUAGUGGAAAUCCUUUUGUGUCUCGUUUCUUUAACGAGACACAAAAGAUUACUUCACUUAAUUUUUAUUUCAAGCGGAGUUCAGUGAACUUCGUUUGAAACGAAUAGCGGGAAAUAGC
rnacentral:sRNA from 1 species